rnacentral:rRNA from 1 species
UACGUAGGGGCGAGCGUUGUCCGGAUUUAUUGGGCGUAAAGAGCGUGUAGGCGGCCAGGUAGGUUUGCUGUGAAAACUCGAGGCUCAACCUCGAGACGUCGGCGGAAACCAUCUGGCUAGAGUCCGGAAGAGGAGAGUGGAAUUCCGGUGUGAGCGGUGAAAUGCGCAGAUAUCAGGAGGAACACCGGUGGCGAAGGCGGGUCUCUGGGCCGAUACUGACGCUGAGGAGCGAAAGCCAGGGGAGCAAACGGG